rnacentral:rRNA from 1 species
AAUCAACGCUGGCGGCGUGCCUCAGACAUGCAAGUCGAACGAUUAAGACUUCCUUCGGGAAGUGUAUAAAGUGGCGCACGGGUGAGUAACACGUAAGUAAUCUACCUUCGAGUGGGGAAUAACAUCGGGAAACCGAUGCUAAUACCGCAUAAUGCAGCGGCAUCGCAAGAUGACAGUUGUUAAAGGAGCAAUUCGCUUGAAGAGGAGCUUGCGGCAGAUUAGCUAGUUGGUAAGGUAAUGGCUUACCACGGCUACGAUCUGUAUCCGGUCUAAGAGGACGGUCGGACACACUGACACUGAAUAACGGGUCAGACUCCUACGGGAGGCAGCAGUCGGGAAUUUUGGGCAAUGGGCGAAAGCCUGACCCAGCAACGCCGCGUGAGGGAUGAAGUAUUUCGGUAUGUAAACCUCGAAAGAAUGGGAAGAAUAAAUGACGGCACCAUUUAUAAGCUCCGGCUAACUACGUGCCAGCCGCCGCCGUAAUAC